rnacentral:lncRNA from 1 species
CUGGAAGCAUUUAAGACUAGUGUGGGUUGAAAUUGUAGUACUGAAACCCAUCAAGACAGCUGUUAGUUGUAAAGUUGAUAUUUGUAUUUGCAGCAGAGCCUAUUACUAUCCUAUAAUAUGGAAUGAAUAAAUAAUUCCUGUAUUGUAGCAGGUGGACCUUAGUAGGCAGAAUAGCAUCAGAAAUGAUCCAUAAACUUUAUUCUAUACACAGAAAAUCAAAUGUUUCAGGUUCUCUGCCUUAUAUUCAAUGUUCUGUGAUGUCAUAAUCUAAAUCGAGUUUUCUGUGUGAUUCCCUGACUCUAUAUGUCCACAGAGUUCCCAUUCUUAGGGGGAAAACAAAACUAGGGAAAAAGAUUUCUGCACCCAAGUGAGUGUAGUGAAACCUUUUUCACACCUCUCUUUUCCCUAGUUAAAAAACAAAGAAAGUAUAUAAAAAAGAUAUGUAGGUACAAACUUAUGAUAAAUGUUCCUAAUAUCAGAUAUUUGAACUGAACCUCUGUGUCAAGAAAUUUGCUCAAUUAAAUUAUAUUAUUCUUAUUUUUAAACCACUUGCAGAAAAUAAUAGCUAUUUCUUUUCACUAGAUUUUGUAUGCUGAACACUGAGAUUCUUGAUGUUCAAAUCUAUCUCAUUGACUAGAAAUAACCUUAUUCAUAUCAUAGAGUGCAUUCAUAUCUAUGCAUAUGAUGCAGAAAGCUAAGUGUUAUUUAUGCCCAACCUGUGCAGGUCUCUUUCUCUGCAAAAUUUUAAAAUCUGUCCUCAUCUUUUGCUACAGAACACUUUGUGUGUGUAUGUAUUUAUUUAUUUAAUUAAUUAUUUAUGUUAACACCCUCAUCUCUCUUAAAGUGAGCAUUGGAAUAGAAAACAAAUUACUUGAAAUUCCCUCUCUGGUGAUUCCAGCGAAUCCAACCACAACUAGUGUAUUAAAAAGAGUAAACAACUCUCCCCCUCUUUUCCUCAUUGGUGUCUGUGUAGCAGAGGGCUUUGACCCUGUGUAAAGCUUUAUCGUGUAAAGCUUUACAUGAGAGACUCUUUUCAGAUUCUUGUGUGAGUCGUGCUAAGGCUCCAUUUGCAAACUUGACAGUGCCUCUCUGUGUUUGACGUUAUAACUUUAGGAUUUUAUGUUAUUUAAAUAUACUAAAAUGUACCCUGUAUCAAACUGCAGGUGCUGCUACACUUCUAUUACAGCACAGUAACACUUGCCUCCUAAAAACUGAGGCUUGUGAAAGAGUUAAGCAAAGCAGCCAGAAAUGGUUUUCAGCUUUUACUUUUCAGAUACAUCCUUUUAAGCAUACCUACAUUUACCUGCAAUGGCAAUCGUUUUGCAUUUUAAUGACAAAUCAAGUAUGCUAACUUGCAUUUGAAACGAAAGUGCCUUAAAUGUCUCUGGCUGUCAGAAUGAGAUGUUAGGAGCUUGAUGAAAAGAGAACAAAGAAGACAAAGUAUGAAGCCUAGAUACAGAGCAAAAUGAAAUAAAACCUUGUAUGGCCUGUCAGGGGUGUCAGUUGAUAUUCCUAUCUAAAGCACAUUAUAGUAUUACUUUGCAGCUCAUAGCUUACUCAUCUGUCUUUUUUAAUUCAUCACAUUCUAGCCCACAUCUUUUAAGUCCCAUGUGUCAACAAUGGAAGAAAUCUGUUAAUUGACAAAUGAGUGUCACAAAUGUGAAUUGGUGCCUUUACAUCAGAGGCAGGUAGUCUCUGUUGUUUUUUGUCGGCUCUAUUAUUGGCAUAAGCCAGUGUAAGACAUCUGUCUUUGCCAGAAUGAGAGAUGACAGCCAGAGAAGGGCUGUCAUUGUUUUAGUGCAUGUUCAUUCUGCUGAGAUACUGUAUAAAGAUAAAAUGUCAGUUAAAAGAAUAUGAAAAACUAUCGGGAGGAAGUCCUUAAAUUACUUGGGUAGGGGAUCUGGGAAUUGGUGCCAGAAUUGAAAUCUGAACGUUCCAGUUUGCAUCUAUCACAUCAAUUUAAAAAUAAUACUUUCUGAGUAACUGGGUCAGUUUAUAAGGCAUUUAGGAAAACGUUAUGUUGUGUUGGCAUAAUUAGCUCAUAAGAUGGAAAGAAAAACAUAUCUUCACAGGAUAUGAGUUUAUUACAAGUUCAUUUUUCAAACAUGUAUAGAAUUGUCUCAAUAAAAAUAUGCUGUGUAGCAUCUCUAGUGUUGAUUUGCAUCUGUUUUGAAAUAUUGAAAUUGCUCUGUUCCAAUUUCUUUUUCUGUUAUAGUCCUAUUUUAGAUUGAUGAAUAACAUAAUGAAAUAAAAAGCAUAGCCAGCUGUGGGUUGAUGAGACAAUUAAUAGGAAGAAAAUUAUUAACAUAGUUUCAGGGUGUCUAGAGGGUGUACAGUAUAUAAAAGUUACUCCCAAAUCACUAAAUCCCUUUAUUGCAAUAAAUGACUUUUUAAUCUUGGAUAGCACAAAAGAGGAGGAAAAUGUUUUAAUGGAGGUGGUAGAAAGAGGGAAUAGAAUUAAAAUGUCAUAAAAGGCUGCCGUUUUACUUUUUACUUUAUAUCAAAAGUCAUAAGAAAGGCAUAUUGGCACUUUUAUCUUCAGCAGCUCUUACAGGCAACCCUGUGCUGUACAGGACACUCACUGUGUAGCCCUCUUUCCCAAAUGGCCUGUCACUGGGGAUCUAAAUGACCUUGUCUGAACUUGAGGCAUUUUGAGGGCUAUGUUGACACAAUCUGGUGAAGGACUAACUCUAGAUCUGUAGGCUGGCUGAGUUGAAAUUUCAAGAUGGAUGUCUCUGAACUGCAAUUUAUUAAAAGUCUUAAAGUUAGUUGGGUUUUGCAUUUGAAAUAGAGCUGUCAAUAUAGUAAAUCUGAGAUGGUCUGGAUUAUGAUAUAGUUAAUAUAGGUAGAAUUGUCAUUCAUAACUUCAUAGAAUUUGUGUUUUCUUUUUUUGAGUUUUUAAACUUGCAUUUAGCAACUGAGUAGCAGAAAAAAUAUCAAACUUUUUCCCCUUCCCACCAUCUAAUGUGGUGCUCUCAGAUUUUUUUUGUCUUUAACUUCUCUGUUUAUCUCCAAGUAUCUUCUGACUCUUUCACUUUUUGUCCAUGGUUAGUAUCAAUUGUAAAUUUAAUUAUUGAUACCAGUAACAUAGUUUAAUACUUCUAAUAGGUACUAGUAAUUUCAUGAGUCUUCUCUGUUAGGGUAUAAAAAGCUGAGAAUGAGUAGCAUGCAGCUUUUAUUUUGUUUUAAGUUUUUGGAUAGAAGUAUUGUUGCUCUGUAAAUAGACUUCCUAUAAAAAGAAUACUAAGAGAGAAGGUUGGUUUUCUCUUGAAGGUCUAUUUGUAUUUUUUUAUUAAAAAAGCUAGUCUUUUCAAAGUUAUUUGGAAUUAAUUUUGCUAGACAAUAUUUUAAAAUAUUAUAAUCUAUGAAAACCAAGAAGUGUUUGCUGCUUAUAUACAAAGGUUUGUGAGCCUUGGAUACCUGUAAGUUUUGUGAAAGCUUUGUUCUUUCAUUUCCAGCUUUCAUUGGUUCUAAGUAGAUGUUUAGAUUUCCAGUCAAAAGCCACGCUGUUGGUAUUUAAAAUGCCAGGCAUGAAUUCUCAGGCAGUUUUUCAUCAUGUGCUUUGAAGUUCAGUUUCCUUUGAGAAGUGGGAAGACAACACUGCCUCCAUUUUACAGAUGGCAGAACUGAGUUGUGAGGAGGCUUUGUUGAUCAAUUGCACAUGCCAAAUAUAAUUACCAGCUCUUCAUACCAACUUGCAUAAACCAC